ensembl:snoRNA
GGUGAACGGUGUGUACGGUGUUGAUCUGUGUUAUGUGCUGUUGCUUGACUGCGUUUUGCAGGCUGGGCAGCAGUGCUCACUCCACACCUGCAGCCAUAGAGCAACAGGAGAUCAUAGUACUGGUCCUUGACUUUUCCCAUUGACCAGCCUCCAAAUUCUCCAACAUGC